GGGAGAGGGCAGAGCCGGCACCCACACGGCUCCGGAGGGGAGGGAUCUGUGCCAGGCCCUCUGGAGACACCCUGCCCACUCCAUCUCCUCGCCGGGACAUGCGACGACUUGUUUCCCAGCCCGUCUCCAAAACGCCCCAAAUUAGACCCUUCGGGUGGAUGCGUCGUCAAGCCAAAGGACGAAGAAGGUGGCCCUGAAGACCCGUGUCCUGCUCAGCCCGGAGGGAUGCUGCGAGAUGGCAGAUGAAGACAUGACGGGACGUCUCGGUGGAAGGAGGCUGGAAUGGGUGGAAAUCAUCGAGCCACGAACCCGGGAGCGCAUGUACGCCAACCUCAUCACGGGGGAGUGCGUGUGGGACCCCCCCGCCGGGGUGCGGAUCAAACGCACCAAUGAGAACCAGUGGUGGGAGCUCUUCGACCCCAACACCUCCCGCUUCUACUACUACAAUGCCACCACGCAGAGGACGGUGUGGCACCGGCCGCAGAACUGCGAUAUCAUCCCCCUGGCCAAGCUGCAGACCCUGAAGCAGAACACAGAAUCACCCAGGGCUUCCACGGAGAACAGCCCCGGGAGGAGCAGCAAUGUCAGCAGGGAGGGCAGCACCAGCUCCUCGCUGGAACAGGAGCUGGAGGGCAGCGAGAAGGCGCAGGAGCAGAGAUCGAGCCGUCCGUCCACCCAGUACACCGUGGUGAAAGAAGAAACAGAAAGUUCGUCGCCUUCCGGAGUGUUUGAGAAAGAAUAUGACAUUUAUCGGGAUUACAGUGCAGAAGGUCAACUCCUCCACUACAGGACGUCAUCCCUGCGAUGGAACGCCGGCACCAAGGAGCGGAUGCUGAUCAAGGUGACCGACCGCGAGCCCAGCUUCCUCAUGCACCAAGGCAACGGCUACGCGCCCGAAAACCAACCGGGCACCCGCUCGCGGCGACCCUCAGGGGGACAACAGUCGCCCAACCUCCAAACCUUCGCCCCUGACGCCGACAACUCCGUUUUCUUCCCCGAGAGGAAGCAGUCGCCCUUCUUGAAGAGGGCCGAGCACGUGGGGAGCUGCUCGCCGCUGCUCGGCCGGGGGGACUCCUUCUGCUCCCCGCUCCAAGCCCAGCACCGCAAGCACUCCAGUGAGUCGCAACCCUCCUCGCCCCGCUACGCCUACGAGCCCCCCCUCUAUGAGGAACCCCCCAUGGAGUACCAGGCUCCCAUCUACGACGAACCCCCCGUGGACAUGCAGUACGAAGCCAGCGGGAGCUACAAAGCUGGCUCGCCGCAGAAAUCGCCCAUCCGUAAACCUCACCCCUUCUUGCAGUCGCCCAAACAAGGCUCCAACUCGCCCUACCAGCAGUUGGUGCUCACCAAACAGAAAUGUCCCGACCGCUUCAUGAGCCUGGAGUACAGCCCCGCCGGCAAGGAGUACGUCAGGCAGCUGGUCUACGUCGAGCAGUCGGGCUCCAGCCCCAAGAUGAAGACGGGGUUGAGGCAUAAAUAUUCCCCCAACCCCAUCGGCGGGUCCUACUCGCUACAGCACAGCCCCUGCCUGGUCCGGGACCAACGCUUGGACAUCAAAUCGGGUGAUUACAGCAGCAUGGAGGGACCCGACUUCUGCCCUGGCCCAACGGGUGGCCAGGUGGCCCAGGGUGAGGACUCCAUGUCGUGGUCCAGCCAACAGGACACCUUGUCCUCCACUGGUUACUCGCCCUCCACCAGAAAGAGGAAAAGCCGAAAACCUUCCCUAUCCCACGACCCAAACGCUUCCUCCACGGAUGGCUCAGGGGACCGGGAGGUGUUGGGCGAGCAGAUGCUGGGUGAGGAACGAGCCACCCCGGGACCCAACAGGUCACCGAUGAACCGUACGGAGAGCAAGGCGGUGGAGGCGGAGGCGGCGCGGGGCUUCCCCGAGCCCUUCCUGGCGCAGGCGCGUCUGGCUUGGGAAGCCCAGCAAGCCCACUACCACAUGAAGCAACGGAGCAGCUGGGACUCCCAAAAGGACGGUUCGGGCUACGAGAGCGACGGUGCCCUCCCGUUGCCCAUGCCGGGUCCGGUGGUGCGAGCCUUCAGUGAGGACGAGGCGUUGGCGCAGCAGGAGAACAAGCACUGGAAGAGGAACACCUUUGAGAAGUUGGGUUUCCCUCAGAUCUUGCUAGAGAAGAGCGUCUCCGUGCAGACCAACCUGGCCUCCCCCGAGCCAUACCUGCAUCCAUCUCAGUCAGAGGAUCUUGGUGCCUGCGCCCAGUUCGAGAGCAGCAGACAGACCAGGAACAUGAUGCCUAGCGCCAGCUGUGUCUUCCCCACCUUCAACCUGCGGAAGCCCUCCUCGGAGACGGACAUUGAGAACUGGGCCUCCAAGCACUUCAACAAGCACACCCAAGGGCUCUUCCGCAGGAAGGUGUCCAUCGCCAACAUGCUGGCCUGGAGCAGCGAGUCCAUCAAGAAACCCAUGAUCAUGACCAACGACCGCAACGUCAAGAAAGAGGCGUGCGAGAUAUUUAAACUCAUUCAGAUGUACAUGGGGGACCGGCGGGCCAAGACGGACCAACUCAACGUGGCCUUGGAGAUCGCCACCAAAGGCUGGAGCAUGCAGGGUCUGAGAGACGAGCUCUACAUCCAGCUGUGCCGACAGACCACCGAAAACUUCCGUUACGAGAGCCUGGCCCGGGGCUGGGAGCUCAUGGCCAUUUGUUUGGCCUUUUUCCCACCCACUCCUAAAUUUCAUUCCUACCUAGAAGGCUACAUCUACAGGCACAUGGAUCCGGUGAACGACACUAAAGUGACCCAGCACAUUCACGACAUCCUGGCCAGGAGCACUAAGAAGAAGCCCAAAUUGCGCAAGAAACCCAAGCCCCAUAGCGACCAGCACCAUGGGGUGGCCAUCAGCACCUACGCCAAGUACUGCUACAACAAGCUGCAGAAGGCGGCUCUGACGGGAGCCAAGAAGGGCCUGAAGAAGCCAAACAUUGAGGAGAUCCGCCACGCCAAGAACGCCGUCUUCAACCCUUCCAUGUUCGGCAGCAGCCUGCAGGACAUCAUCACCAUGCAGAAGGAGCGGUACCCUGACCGGCAGCUGCCCUGGGUGCAGACCCGCCUCUCCGAGGAGGUCCUGGCGCUCAACGGGGACCAGACCGAGGGGAUCUUCAGAGUCCCUGGUGACAUCGACGAGGUCAACGCCCUCAAGCUGCAGGUGGACCAGUGGAAGAUCCCCACCGGCUUGGAGGACCCCCAUGUUCCUGCCUCCCUGCUGAAGCUCUGGUACCGGGAGCUGGAGGAACCGUUGAUCCCCCACGAGUUCUACGAACAGUGCAUCACCCACUAUGAGAACCCCGAGGCCGCCAUCACCGUCGUCCACUCUCUGCCCAGGAUCAACAAAAUGGUGCUGUGCUACCUCAUCCGCUUCCUACAGGUCUUCGUGCAGCCAGCCAACGUGGCCGUCACCAAGAUGGACGUCAAUAACCUGGCCAUGGUGAUGGCCCCCAACUGCCUGCGCUGCCAAUCGGACGACCCGCGGAUCAUCUUCGAGAACACCCGCAAGGAGAUGUCCUUCAUCCGGGUGCUCAUCCAGCACCUCGACACCAGCUUCAUGGAGGGUGUCCUAUAGCGGCUGCCACCACCUGUCCCCUCCUGUCCCACCCCCCUCGCCCAAGGAGCACAAGCUGGACCCUGCAGAAGGAGGUGGCUUGUCCCACCAUCUCUGUCCCCUCCUGCCCGUCCUACAGCAGGACAUGGGACUGUUCUCCAAGCCCCAUCCCAACCAUCUCACUGCCCACCUGGUCACUGGCCAUGUUGGGGGCCACCCGGGGACGGCAGCACCCCCGGAGUGGGCGAGGAGCAUCCUGGGUGUCCCCUGUGGCCAUGGGUGACAGCGGGGACCUGGGGAGCAGGUGACAACGUGGAGGCUGGUCAGGGAUGUCUUCCUUGGGGUUGGGUCAGGCUACAGCAGAGAGCAGAGCCAUGGGGCCACCAUGGGGCCGGGAGAACCUCCAGGGCCAAGAGAAGCCACUAGUGAUGAGCACCUGGAGAACGUGGCAUAUGGGGGACCAGAGUGACAACCAUCCUGGUGGCAGAAGAGUCCCAGCUUGCGGGGAGGAGGACCAUGGGUGGGGCUGUGGGCACCCAGGAGUGGGUGCUGGGGGUCCCUCAGGAGCUGCCGUGUGGCUAGUUGACCACCCUUGGGUGCUGGAGGAGGCCACACGUGUCAUGGUGCCCGUCUCACAGCAGCAGGCAGGACACCAGACCCAUCUCACCACACUUUGGCACCACCAGGCCCCAAAGGACCUGUCUGAGCACCCACUAUGUUAGCUUGGGCCUGUGGGACCCAUCAGAGGACCCAUCAUCUACUCCUGGCCUUGGGAGACCCAUCCUGACACCAACCAUCUCUGCGUGGACCUGCUGGAGUCAUCUUGGUACCCGUCAUCUCCUCCUGGUCCUGCUGGACUCAUCCUAGCACCCAUCAUCUCCUGCUGGUCCUGCCCAACCCAACUUACAACCUCAAAUCUUUGCUUGGUCCUCCUGGACCCAUCUUGGUGUCCGUCAUCUCCUCCUAGUCCUGCUGGACUCAUCUUGAUGCCCGUCAUCUCCACUUCAUUUUGCCCAACUCAUCUUGGCACCCAUCAUCUCUUCCUGGUCCUGCUGGACCCAUCUUGGCACCCGUUAUCUCCCUCUGCUUCUCCUGGACCCGUUUUGGUGACCAUCAUCUCCUCCGGGUCCUACUGAACUCACCUUGGUGUCCAUCAUCCCUGCUUGUCCUUGCUGGACUGAUCUUGGUGCCUGUCAUUUCCUCAUUCUGCCCAACUCAUCUUGGCACCCAUCAUCUCUUCCUGGUCCUGCCCAACCCAUUUUGGUGCCCACCAUCUCCAGGUCCUACCCAUCCCAAUUGGUGUCCAUCAUCUCCAGGUCUGUCCAACAUAUCUUGGUGCCCACCAUUGCCUGAUUCUCCUGCCCAACCCAUCUUGGCACCCAUCUCCUCCAGGUCCUACCCAACCCAACUUGGUGCCCACCAUCUCUUGGUUCUCCUGCCUAACCCAUCUCCAGGUCCUGCCCAACCCAACUUGGUGCCCACAUCUUGGUCCUGUCCACCUCAUCUUGGUGCUCAUCAUCUCCAGGUUCUCCUACACCCACCUUGACAUCCAUCAUCUCCUCCUGCUUCUCCUGGACCCAUCUUGGCACCCAACAUCUCCAGGUCCUACCCAAUCCUGCUUGGUGCCCAUCAUGUCCUGGUUCUCCUGCCCAAACCAACUUGGUGCCCAUCAUCUCCAUGUCCUGCCCAACUCACCUUGGCACCAAACACCUCUUGAUUCUCCUGGGCACAUCUUGGUGCCCAUCAUCUCCUCUUGGCCCUGCCCAACCUAUCUAGGCAACCACCAUCACCAGGUCCUGCCCAAGCCAACUUGGUGCCAUCAUCUCCAGGUCCUGCCCAAUUUGUGUUGGCACCCACCAUCUCCAGGUUCUCUUGUCCAACCCAACUUGGUGCCCAUCAUCUCCAGAUCCUGCCUAACCCACCUUGGAACCCAUAAUCUCCAGACCCAUCUACCUAACUUGGUGCCCGUCAUCACCUGGUCUGGCCCAAUCCACUUUGGCACCCACCGUCUGCAAGUCCCACCUUCCCACCUUGGCCACCAUCAUCUCAUGUUCCCGUCCAACCCAACUUGGUGACCAUGAUUUCCUGGUUCUCCUGCCCAACCCACCUUGGUGCCCACCAACUCCAGGUCCUGCCCAACCCACCUUGGCACCCACCAUCUCCUGGGUCUCCUGACCAACCCAAUUUGGUGCCCAGCAUCUCCAGGUCCUGCACAACCCACCUGGGCACCCACCAUCUCCUGGGUCUCCUGACCAACCCAAUUUGGUGCCCAGCAUCUCCUGGUCCUCCCCAACCCAAAUUGGUACCCACAGCUUGGUCCUGCCCAACUCAUCUUGGUGCUCAUCAUCUCCAGGUUCUCCUGCACCCACCUUGACACCCACCAUCUUCUCAUGUUUCUCCCAGACCUAUCUUGGCACCCACCAACUGCAGGUCCUGCCCAACCCAACUUGGCACCCACCAUCUCCUGGUCAUGCCCAACCCAACUUGGUACCCGUCAUCUCCAGGUCCUGCCCAACCCUAUUUGGUACCCACCAUCUCCAGGUCCUGCCCAACCUGACUUGGUGCCAUCAUCUCGAGGUCCUUCCCAACCCAACUUGGUACCCACCAUCUCCAGGUCAUACCCAACCCAACUUGGUACCCACCAUCUCCAGGUCAUGCCCAACCCAACGUGGUGUCCAUCAUCUGGUUCUCCUGCCAAACCCACCAUCAACUCCAGGUCCUGCCCAACCCAACUUGGUACCCAUCAUCUCCAGGUCCUGCCCAACCCAACUUGGUACCCACCAUCUCCAGGUCCUACCCAACCCAACUUGGUACCCAUCAUCUCCAGGUCCUGCCCAACCCAACUUGGUACCCACCAACUCCAGGUCAUGCCCAACCCAACUUGGUACCCAUCAUCUCCAGGUCCUUCCCAACCCAACUUGGUACCCACCAUCUCCAGGUCCUGCCCAACCCAACGUGGUGUCCAUCAUCUGGUUCUCCUGCCUAACCCACCAUCAGCUCCAGGUCCUGCCCAACCCAACUUGGUACCCAUCAUCUCCAGGUCCUGCCCAACCAAUUUUGGCACCCAUCAUCUCCAGAUCCUGCCCAACCCAACUUGGUACCCACCAACUCCAGGUCAUGCCCAACCCAACUUGGUACCCAUCAUCUCCAGGUCCUUCCCAACCCAACUUGGUACCCACCAUCUCCAGGUCCUGCCCAACCCAACGUGGUGUCCAUCAUCUGGUUCUCCUGCCCAACCCACCAUCAGCUCCAGGUCCUGCCCAACCCAACUUGGUACCUGUCAUCUCAAGGUCAUGCCCAACCCAACUUAGUACCCACCAACUCCAGGUCCUGCCCAACCCAACUUGGUACCCACCAUCUCCAGGUCAUGCCCAACCCAACUUGGUACCCACCAUCUCCAGGUCAUGCCCAACCCAACGUGGUGUCCAUCAUCUGGUUCUCCUGCCCAACCCACCAUCAACUCCAGGUCCUGCCCAACCCAACUUGGUACCCAUCAUCUCCAGGUCCUUCCCAACCCAACUUGGUACCCACCUUCUCCAGGUCCUGCCCAACCCAACGUGGUGUCCAUCAUCUGGUUCUCCUGCCCAACCCACCAUCAACUCCAGGUCCUGCCCAACCCACCUUGGCACCCACCAUCUCCAGGUCCUGCCCAACCCAACUUGGUACCCAUCAUCUCCAGAUCCUGCCCAACCCAACUUGGUACCCGUCAUCUCCAGGUCCUUUCCAACCCAACUUGGUACCCACCAUCUCCAGGUCAUGCCCAACCCAACGUGGUGUCCAUCAUCUGGUUCUCCUGCCCAACCCACCAUCAGCUCCAGGUCCUGCCCAACCCAACUUGGUACCUGUCAUCUCCAGGUCCUACCCAACCCAACUUGGUACCCAUCAUCUCCAGGUCCUGCCCAACCCAACUUGGUACCCAUCAUCUCCAGGUCCUGCCCAACCCACCUUGGCACCCACCAUCUCCAGGUCCUGCCCAACCCAACUUGGUACCCAUCAUCUCCAGAUCCUGCCCAACCCAUUUUGGCACCCACCAUCUCCAGGUCCUACCCAACCCAACUUGGUACCCAUCAUCUCCAGGUCCUGCCCAACCCAUUUUUGGCACCCAUCAUCUCCAGGUCCUGCCCAACCCAACUUGGUACCCAUCAUCUCCGGGUCCUGCCCAACCCAACGUGGUGUCCAUCAUCUUGUUCUCCUGCCCAACCCACCAUCUCCAGGUCCUGCCCAUCCCAACUUGGUGCCCACCAUCUACAGGUUCUUCUGCCCAGCACCCCCGACAUCCACCAUCUCACGGUUCUCUUGGACCCCCCCUCACCCACCACCCACCCCAAGGUCCCCGCAGCAGCAGGACGUGCCCCCUCCACCCCCAUGGCCACCCCCCCAUGUGCCUUCGGGGUGACAAGGGACCUUGGGGGGCACCAGUGGGGGGAGCACCCAUCAGACCUUAUAGA